CUUUUGUGUAUGCUCUCUAUAUGUUGACUGUCCGGUUCAAAGCACAGAGCUUGUAGUAACGAUCACUGACAUGGAGCUAAGAUGGAUAUGACCAUUUGCAGAUUAAGACGUGGAUUCUCCAUUUAAUUUAAAUUUUGCAACUCACAAAUGCAUAUUUGUUUUAAUUCAGUGAUAAGUAACCACAAUAAAAAAAAAACAAGCAUUUAAAAUGACAGAGCCCUGUUAAAGGAAAAACUAUAGUGUCAGGAAUACAAAUCAG